UACGUAGGGGGCAAGCGUUGUCCGGAUUUAUUGGGCGUAAAGAGCGUGUAGGCGGCCAGGUAGGUCUGCUGUGAAAACUCGAGGCUCAACCUCGAGAUGCCGGCGGAAACCAUCUGGCUAGAGUCCGGAAGAGGAGAAUGGAAUUCCCGGUGUAGCGGUGAAAUGCGCAGAUAUCGGGAAGAACACCCGUGGCGAAGGCGGUUCUCUGGGACGGUACUGACGCUGAGACGCGAAAGCGUGGGGAGCGAACAGG
rnacentral:rRNA from 1 species